rnacentral:tRNA from 1 species
GGGAAAGUGGCUCAGUGGUAGAGCGCUUGCCUUGCAUGCAUGAGACCCUGGGUUCAAUUCCUCAGCACCA